UACGUAGGGUGCAAGCGUUGUCCGGAAUUAUUGGGCGUAAAGAGCUCGUAGGCGGUUUGUUGCGUCGGCUGUGAAAUCCCGAGGCUCAACCUCGGGUCUGCAGUCGAUACGAGCAAACUAGAGUGUUGCAGGGGAGACUGGAAUUUCCGGUGUAGCGGUGAAAUGCGUAGAUAUCGGAAGGAACAUCAGUGGCGAAAGCGACUUCCUGGACCAAUACUGACGCUCAUGUGCGAAAGCGUGGGGAGCAAACAGG
rnacentral:rRNA from 1 species